CAGAGCUGGGUGAUGAUGUGAAAUACCUUUUCCCAUAGUUACGGACCGGGUUGAUGGCUGGAAAGGACAUUUUCCCAUUGUUAAAGGAUAGAGGGUCCGGUUAGCCCCGACCAUUAUCCGUUUCGAAUUCAUCAGCUCAAAGACGCUUGCCCGCUCCAUCAAAACUCCGUAAGUUUUCCCGCCAUGUGUAGAUCAAUCGUUCCUGCCUGUAAAUUCUGGGUAUGCCCACAUCAUUAAUUAAUAAGAUGUGUAGAAAACUGUUUAGCCAUAGUUAAAGGCCUUUCAUAAAGAGGCUGUCAUGAUUGCCUGUGCCACA